UAAAAACCCCGACUCACGAAGGGGUGUAUUUAUUAGAUUAAAAACCAAUGCCCUUCGGGGCUCUUUGGUGAUUCAUAAUAACUUUUCGAAUCGCAUGGCCUUGCGCCGGCGAUGGUUCAUUCAAAUUUCUGCCCUAUCAACUUUCGAUGGCAGGGUCUUGGCCUGCCAUGGUUACAACGGGUAACGGAGGGUUAGGGCUCGACCCCGGAGAAGGAGCCUGAGAAACGGCUACUACAUCCAAGGAAGGCAGCAGGCGCGCAAAUUACCCAAUCCCGAUUCGGGGAGGUAGUGACAAUAAAUACUGAUACAGGGCUCUUUUGGGUCUUGUAAUUGGAAUGAGUACAAUUUAAAUCCCUUAACGAGGAACAAUUGGAGGGCAAGUCUGGUGCCAGCAGCCGCGGUAAUUCCAGCUCCAAUAGCGUAUAUUAAAGUUGUUGCAGUUAAAAAGCUCGUAGUUGAACCUUGGGCCUGGCUGGCCGGUCCGCCUCACCGCGUGCACUGGUUCGGCCGGGCCUUUCCCUCUGGGGAACCCUAUGGUCUUCACUGAUCGUAGCGGGGAACCAGGACUUUUACUGUGAAAAAAUUAGAGUGUUCAAAGCACGCCUAUGCUCGAAUACAUUAGCAUGGAAUAAUAAAAUAGGACGUGUGGUUCUAU
rnacentral:rRNA from 1 species